AUGGACGUACCUCUGGUGUACCAGUUGUCCUGCCAAGGGCAUGGCUGGGUAGCUAUGUACGGAAUGGAUAAGCGCUGAAAGCAUCUAAGCGCGAAGCCAACUUCAAGAUAAGAUUUCCCACCGCAAGGGUAAGACUCCAGAAAGACUAUCUGGUUGAUAGGUCGAAGGUGUAAGUGCAGCAAUGUAUUUAGCUUAUCGAUACUAAUAGGUCGAGGACUUGACCAAU
rnacentral:rRNA from 1 species